CAGGGAGACAACAAAAUGUUUAAUAUUAUUAUUUUGUCACCUUAGGUCGAUCGGUAUCUCACAUUCUUAAUUUAUUAAGGAUUUUAUUUCCUAAGUUUUUUCUAGGUCACACCCAUCACUUUUCCUGGGCCAUUAGCUCAGGUGGUUAGAGCGCACCCCUGAUAAGGGUGAGGUCCCUGGUUCAAGUCCAGGAUGGCCCAUAUCUCUAUGUUGGGGGUAUAGCUCAGUUGGUAGAGCGCCUGCUUUGCAAGCAGGAUGUCAGCGGUUCGAGUCCGCUUACCUCCACUGAUUACCACCUCUUCCAUAAUUAUUUAAGGAAAUGUUUUGAGUAGUGAUCAAAUUCUGAACGAAUCUAGCUUCCUAAUGAAUUCAUUAAGAUGCUGGACUCAUUGAAUUAUUUUCAUUGUUUUCAGAGAACCUUGACAACUGCAUAGAUUAUUUUUAAAGACAAUAAGCAUCUUUAUGAUGCAGAUUUAUUAUUUGUGCGAAUGCAUUAAUAACAAUUCUAUUAAGCUGAUGCUUCAAUUAUGAAGUUAUU
rnacentral:tRNA from 1 species